GGAUGGUCAAGAGGGAGGAAUUGUUGAUGUUUGUCGAACAAAGAAAACUUGCCACCCUUUGUCAACCAAAUGAACUUCAAAGAUGCCUUGCAUACUGGGCACGGGAACUUCCCGUGAACACACCAGCCGCAGAAUAUCCCAUACGCCGGCAAGUCAUGCAGGGAGUACUGGUACCAAACAUGCAUUUUGAAGUUUGUCUUUGUAGCUCGAUUGUAUGUCCAUACCCCUUCCUCCC
rnacentral:lncRNA from 1 species